rnacentral:rRNA from 1 species
CAAUAGCGUAUAUUAAAGCUGUUGCGGUUAAAAAGCUCGUAGUUGGAUUUCUGUCAAGGACAACUGGUCCGCCCUCCGGGUGAGCACAUAGUUUGGUCUUGGCAUCUUGCUGGAAGCUGUUGCUGCACUUGGCUGUGUGGCGCAGCGUCCAGCACUUUCACUUUGAGGAAAUUGGAGUGUUUCAAGCAGGCACAUGCCUUUGGACACAGUAGCAUGGAAUAAUUAGAUCGGGCUUUUGCUCCAAUUUGUCGGUUUCUGGAGCUGAGGUGAGAAUUAAUGGGGAUUGUUGGGGGCAUCCGAAUUUAGCCGUCAGAGGUGAAAUUCUUGGAUCUGCUAAAGACGGACAACUGCGAAAGCGUUUGCCCAGGAUGUUUUCAUUGA